UACGAAGGGGGCUAGCGUUGCUCGGAAUUACUGGGCGUAAAGGGCGCGUAGGCGGCUUCGCUAGUUGGGCGUGAAAUGCCUGGGCUUAACCCAGGAAUUGCGCCCAAUACUUCGAGGCUCGAGUGUGGGAGAGGAUAGUGGAAUUCCCAGUGUAGAGGUGAAAUUCGUAGAUAUUGGGAAGAACACCAGCGGCGAAGGCGGCUAUCUGGACCACAACUGACGCUGAGGCGCGAAAGCGUGGGGAGCAAACAGG
rnacentral:rRNA from 1 species